GUGAGGAAUAUUGGUCAAUGGACGGAAGUCUGAACCAGCCAUGCCGCGUGAAGGAUGAAGGCGUUCUGCGUUGUAAACUUCUUUUAUUUAGGAAGAAACCACCGAUUUCUAUUGGUGUUGACGGUAUUAAAUGAAUAAGCACCGGCUAACUCCGUGCCAGCAGCCGCGGUAAUACGGAGGGUGCGAGCGUUAUCCGGAUUUACUGGGUUUAAAGGGUGCGCAGGCGGUCUUAUAAGUCCGGGGUGAAAUACUACAGCUCAACUGUAGAACUGCCUUGGAUACUAUAGGACUUGAAUCGAGUAUAGGUCAGCGGAAUACAACAUGUAGCGGUGAAAUGCAUAGAUAUGUUGUGGAACACCGAUUGCGAAGGCAGCUGACUGGGCUUGAAUUGACGCUCAGGCACGAAAGCGUGGGUAGCGAACAGGAUUAGAUACCCCGGUAGUCC
rnacentral:rRNA from 1 species